UUGUUUGUUUUUUCCAGUUCCCCACAACCACCAUCAGCCACUUUCAGUCCCAUACACGGUGCUCAUCUACUCCUGCUGAGCCGCCACAGUCCUGCUUUGUACCUGUCAGGAUAUUUCAUUCUCAGAUCCCGACAUCUUCUUUCUCAGUUGCACUGUGGUUUAGAUAAUGACGAACAGGAACGUGCUAAUCCUCAACUCCCCGGUUGUGUAAGGCGUUGAGAUCAACCGCCAGGAACGUCUAAGAGCAGAGAUUGCUCACUGUCCCUUCAGUGACCAAUGCGCCUCAUCCGGUAACGCACAACUGAACUUCAAGACAGGGGCUGGGACACCAGAGCCAAACUCAUGCAUUUCUUUCCACAACAGAUGGUACUGAAGCCCCUUCAUGAUCUGGCCAGGGAGUGCUCAGGAUGGCAAUGUAGGUUAUUUAUGGCUCUGAUCCCAGUGAGGAAGCCAGCAGUGGAGACCCUAGGAUGUCUUAAACUUUAAUGAGCAACAAUUUGAAAUGCCCGUCAUCUUUCUGCCCGUCAACAUCUUGGCGGAAGUCUAAACCAGGAAGAAGUGGCACCUCUUUGGGUUCACCAGGUUUGAGUGCCUGCUCAGACACCAGAGUUCUAACACUGUGAACUUCAUGGCCACGCAUGCCUGGAGUGGCUGCUUAGAGUGGGGGCUGCUAUUCCAAACGCAGCUGACUGUGAAUUCAAUUCUGCCCGAUCAAAGCCUCAACUCUUCGGAGUGCCAACGGAUUCAUUUUGCUUCCUAGAAGUACUUGAGCUUAAAUUUCUCACAAAGGACAGCAGUGCAAGUGCUGAGAACUCCCUGAGCAGAUGACGGAAGGUCAGAGCAAGUACAACACGGAAGGAGCAAUCCACCCGGUGAUUAGGAAAAUUGCAAGGGAGAUAAUCCAGACAAUGUUAAGAUCGCUCAGAUUGGGUUUUCAUGGAUUCUAUGGUAUCUUUAAAUUGCUUAGUGAUGUCGAGGACGGAGUAUGGCAAUAGGGUCAUUUCCCAGAUGUCCUAAUAUCGCUUAUCUUCUUAAAACAAAGCACUUCUUUGUAAGGCACCCAAAGUUAGAUCUCUGUUCUAUGCAGAUACUUAGUCAAGCAGUUAACAUGCUAUUCUAGAUACAACCUUAUGAUCUAUAUUU